CAGAGCCCCGGUAUGCGGGAUAGGAACCAGAGCAUGGCUACGCCGUGUCUGAGUGAUCCUGUGACAGGAGCGGCUGCGGGUAUGGAAGACACAACGCCAUGCCUUAUGGCGGAUGGCGGAACAACGUCACGGAGGGCGCUGCGCCUUGCGGCAGAUGGCAGCACAGAUGGCGCCACGCCUCACGGCGGAUGGCAGGUCAGAAAAAAAGUAUACGCCACGCCUCACGGCGGAAAGCCAG